CGGCCGACGCUUGGGAGAAGCCGGGCGGUGGCGCGGCCGUGCGUCGGUGGCAGCCCCCUCACGUCAGUGUGCGCAUGCGCGCUGCCCUAUCAAACGAGGCGCGUCGCGGGCCCCGCGCCUGCGCCCCGGCGUCCUCGCGGGCCCGGCGCGCGCCCCUCGCCUCGCGCCCUCGGUCACAGUGGGGCCCGGUCCGGUCCGGGUCCCGGUGAGACCCCGGCCCAGGCCGCGCCCCGUGGCCGUCUCCGCGCCCUCGCGACAGUCUGGAGGAGGAGGAGCAGGAGGAGGCCCGAGUGUCGCCCGUCAAUGCAUCACCGCGAGGCAGCCCAGGAUGAAGAAGGCGAGCAGGACCGCCACCUCAGCGCCCAAGCCGCCGGGGACAGCUAAGAGCAAGCUGGACGGCCCCACGGGGGCCAAGCUCCCCAAGUCCGGCUCAAGCUUGCUGACCAAGGCCAAAAGCAACGAUGACCUCCUGGCUGGCGUGGCUGGAGGGGCCCCAGGGACAAGCAGCAUGAGAGGGAAGAAGCCCUGCCCGGCGGCAACCCCUGCCCCCAGCGUCCUCGCCGCGAGCGCCGCCGAGGGCAAGCCCAAGCCCGGCGCAGGGGCCAACUCCAAAAGAAACACGUCCAUAGCAGGGCAAGAGCCCGGCUC
rnacentral:lncRNA from 1 species